CCAUGUUUAGGGUUUCUACGUUCUACUUUGCCGUCGAAAUCCUCUUUAUAAACCGAUGCAGCAUCUGGUUACAAUCACUGCCUCCAGGUUAUGCUUUUUUCGUUCCUCCAUAUUUCUCUGUUAGAUCACCUACUCUUACCAUUCAUCUUCGUUAGGUUACUCUAUUUCGCUUCUUUCUUAAUCGUGUGUUUGUUUUCAAUCAAGUGAUGAGAAAAUAAAACUGCAACAAUAUGAAAUGGAUUCAAUCCAUGAUUACCUGUAUUUAAGUCUCUGAUGAUUCACUCGCAUCUUUUGUUUCUCCUAUUCAGCUUCUUUUUUAUUAUUAUUAUUUUUUUAAAUUUUGUUUUCAUGAAUUGAAAGCUAAGAGACAUGAUGAUUUUUAUAUUGGUCCGUGUUUCUGAAUUACCGUGACCGACAUCUUUUUCCAAUCUCUGAUCUCUAUUAGCGAAAUAACAAAACUUAUUUCCCUUUUUUCCCAAAUCUUAGGGUUUUGAAUUUUAUAUCUCAAAUUCAACUAUUCUGAACCUUCAAUUAGCGGUUGCUCUGUGAUUUCUUGCAUACAUUGCAGUAUACGCUAUUCCGAUUUAACGUAUGAGCAGAAAUUUUAUUGCGUAUGAGAGCUACUGCUAAUCUGCUAUAUUGUUCUAACCACAAUUGUUGAUUUUGUUUUUCGUUCUGUUGAAAUUUUCAGCUGAAAGUGAAUAAUAGAUUCGUGUUCUGCUGUGACGAACUAAGAAUAAAAUUCACAUGUCAGACUUCAGAGAUUUUUCAAAAGUCAAUGAGAAUGAUAAUUCUUCACUGAGCAGAAACUACAAAUUUAUUUAGUUUUAUUAUGUUUUUGUUAAGAAAUUUUGGAAAAUUUUAUUGACGGGAGAUUUCUCCGAAGGAGUCUCAUACAUAAUUGAGAGCAAACUUAAUUGGUGUUUGCAUAGUUCUCAAGUAACCGUCAGAAAUCAAUGCUCUUCGGCGUCGACGGUGUCGCCCUAACGGGUGGCAUCUCCGCCGGGGGCUGUCUCAUAUUCCAUUGCCUUGUGGAGCGGCGUCGCCGCCUUUACCAUUUGGGACUGGCCAUGAGACAUACAUUUCAAUUUAUAACUAAAUUUUUUCUUUAGAUUAUAUAAUUUAGGUAUAGUAUACUUUUAAUUCUUAAUUAAUUAAAUUGUUUAGUUAUAUUUAAUUUUGUCUUUUCAGAUUUGUCUCAAAAUUAUACUGAAUGAUAAUUUCCCGUAAAAUGAUAGGGAUAAAAUUUAAAAUUUUAGGGAUAAUUUUAUCACACUUGAAAAUAUAAUUGAAAACGUUAGCGUCAAAUUAAAUUUUAGUGGUAUUUUCUAAUAUUAGGACAAAAAACCUAUAAUUUAUUUUCAUGUAUACAUAAUGUGAUAUAAUGUGUCGUGUAGUUUCUAGAUAUUAAUAGAUAAUGGUGUCAAAUUGAUUUUAGUUAUGCAUAUGCUAAAAUUAACUUAUUAAUAUAGAUGAAUUUUUGUUAAUCUUUUAUUGGCUGGCAGGAUCUUUAUGGAAAUGGUUCUACCAUUUGUUUAAAACCGUCAAGGAAAAGAAAAAGUUCUUCCUACACCGCAAGAUUCUGUUCUCUACAGAGUAAACAUGUUCUAUAAUGUUCAAAUUAUCCUAGAGAAAUUCGUUUGCAAUAUUGGUAGCAUGUUUGUUGGGAGGCAGAAUGAUUUCUCAGGACGUUGGUUGCGGGGCUGCUCAUGUAUCUAGGAUGAGUUUGUUAAGAAUAACAUUUUAGCUUCGAUUUGUAGUAAGGCUUUAAGAGUGGAAUAGAUAUCUCCGAGGUUCAUGUUAUUGUGUGAGCAAUUGGAAACACCCUGGAUAUUAUGCGGAAUUAAAGGUUUGCCAAAUUUAUUUGAUGGAAGCAAAGAGGUUAGACUCUAUCAACUUGGUUCAAAAUGUUUACUAGAUACUGAUAUGCAUAAUCUUUUAUUUCUGCAUGUAUUUAUGAACUCAUGAACAAGGGUGAAACUCAAAUCCUUUACCAGCACUGUUUGCUAAUUCUCCUCUAACAACUUAAGUUAUCAAAUCUUUAAAGAUCAACCUCUCUAUAUGACUAUAUCCAACACAACAUUUGGGUGAUGCAUCAAAUUCAAAUCUGCCCCCCAUAAGAGACUUGUCAAAUUCUCAUCCUCAAUGGGCAGUUAUGAUUCUUUUUCUGAUGUUGUAACUGGCCUAUUUCUGUGCAUACCUCGUCCAAAAGCUGCUUCCCCUGUAGGUUUCUACCUGGUAGCUGGUAUGUUAGGCGACACUGAGUAUAAGAACCCUCCAAAAAUGAUGUUUGAACAAGAAUGUCAUUAACCACAUCAAAUUAUGAGUUUUCUUUGCAUUUGCUCUGGACUAAUAAUCUUGCCACUGUUAAAAUCCUUCUUGUUUGUUUUCAUGGCGAGUGCUACGGUGCUGAAACAAAAUUUUUUUAACACCUGAAAUGAGGUGGUGACAAGGAGAGUUGGACACGUAUUGGUAUUAUUGUUGCAGGAGGAGACACAAAUUACAGAACAGCAGUAGUAGCAGGAAUUGUAUUGGAAAUAUUAAGUAGUUAUUAAUAAUUAAAUAAAGAUAACCUUUUUUAUUGGUU